UAGAUUGAAGCCCGCUGGCUUGGGUUUUUAGUUGUUAACUAAAGGUUUACGGGAUCGAGGCCCGUCGAUCUAG
rnacentral:tRNA from 1 species